rnacentral:rRNA from 1 species
ACUUGUUNCCAGUCUUUUGGGUAUGAAACCCAUUUGGGCGAGAGUAGUACUAGGAUGGGUGACCUCCUGGGAAGUCCUCGUGAAAGGGUUU